AUAAAAAGGGUGGAAAAUGUUUGCUUCUCUUCUUCCACCCAUUCCUUGAGGGAUCAGAUGCUGCCUUCUUCUGUUGUCUCCCAGUACUACUUAAUGAAACACAUCAGAUUUUAUGGUGAGGAGGAAGCAGCAACGAGGAUGACUGUUCCCCAUCUGCAGGCCAUCAUCUCUUUAUAAUGGCUUCAUUCAUCUUUCUACGUUUUCUCCCCCGGUUGAGCUCUGAGGUCCGAAUAAUAUAGAGUUUAGAGUCAUUGUUGCUGGUAAACUCCAGAUAGUUGAACAUUGUUCACUGGAAAAAAACUGCAAAAGACAAAAACUACUUUCUAAGUAUCUUUUGACCUGUAUUUGGUCAACAAGUACUCCCAGGAGAUAAGCAGAAUGCCUUAAAAUAUAUACAGACCUAUAGAACUAUCUGAAGAAAUGCGUAUAGCAGUAAAUAUAAAUUCACUUAAACCAUUUCUUUUGACAUAUAUACAGAUUUGGCUUGUUAUACAUCUACCCAUAGGAAGUAAUGGAAAUGAUGAGGUUAUCUAUCACCCAACACUCAUGCUUUGCAAAUUUACAAAUGUGUACUAAGGUGAUGUCAAGCUUUGACCAAGUUUCAACUGAAUAGAUGCCAAUUAAUGGUUUUGAGUAGAAGCCAUAUAAAACUUGAUGGCUUGAACUGAAUUUGGAGGGUCACCAAAAGCAUAACAAUAUCUAAACCAGUAAUAAUUUAACUGAAGCCAAUGAAGUUCCACCCAUGUAAGGCAGAGAGCUGAAAUCCGACCAAAGGGUGGUAAAUGUCUACAGGCUAAAAAGAAGAAAAAGAGGCACAGCCCUUCUCUUUCCAUGGGCCAACAUAGCAAAGCCUGUGUAGCUGUACUUAAUGCUUUCACCUGUCAACAUGUUCCUCACUUAUUCCUCAUUUCCAUUCAUUUCCACUUCUUUAUAAGAGUUUAUGGAAAUGUCAGGAUGUGUUCUUACAGGAAGGAUGGUGUCACCUCCACAUUUCCUGAGAGAUGUUUUUAAUAAAAAAGUCUUCUGGUCCACUCUGAAUAAUUCUGUUCUUUUUGUCUGUCUUCUGGAAGACAGAGAGGUGACUGGAAAGAAAGCUUUUACCUCUAGCUUACAGCUUCUAAUUCAGCUCAGCUCAGUAGUAAGUAAACACUCAGUAGUAAUGUGACAGCCUGUGUCAACCAAGUUAGUAGCAUGCAUGAAGCAUUUGUAUAGAAAAAAAAAAUAGUACUUUAUGGAAAUAAUUGUCAAAAAAUGCAUCUAGAUGACAAACACUUUCUGGGAAAAUGGAUGUUUAUUUUGGAAGUAACAUCUGAGUGUAUUUAAAAGUGAAAGCUCUCAGUAUAUAACACAAAAAUAUAAACAUAGUAAGAUGAUGCUUAAGAGUGAAGGAACAAUUUUAUAAUCAAAUUUUAUAAUCAAAUCUGAACACCCAAUUCAUUGUGUCAAGUAACUUGCUUUGAACCUUAGUAAUGCUGGUAAAACAAGUGUCAGAUAAAAAACAUUUUGGAAGACUGCAUAACAAAGACCCUACAAACAGCAAUGAAAAGGCACGCAACAAACUUUAGACUUAUGUAUAAUCUCUCCUACUAUAAUUUAACUCUGUUACUUCCUGUCUUUGUUCCUCAUUCUUCACAGAGCAAGCAUGACUCUGUGAUUAAUAUUACAGGAUCAUAGAAUUCCAGACUGCUAUAGGUGUCAUAUAUAUGUUAUAUAUAAUAUAUAUUAUAUAUCUUGCCAAAUACAAAAUAUAUAAUAUGUAUAUAUAAGUCCAUGUCUGCAUUUGGCAAAAUAUAAUUGCACUCCAGAUAUUUAUCUUUUGCUCUGUUUUGAUUGUUUAAUGUUAUUCUAAGCUAAAACUUUCCUACCACUCAAAACAAUCCAGCUUUGCAUUUUUACUGGCUGCUAUUUGAA